GAUGAACGCUGGCGGCGUGCCUAAUACAUGCAAGUCGAGCGAACGGACGAGAAGCUUGCUUUUCUGAUGUUAGCGGCGGACGGGUGAGUAACACGUGGAUAACCUACCUAUAAGACUGGGAUAACUUCGGGAAACCGGAGCUAAUACCGGAUAAUAUUUUGAACCGCAUGGUUCAAAAGUGAAAGACGGUCUUGCUGUCACUUAUAGAUGGAUCCGCGCUGGAUUAGCUAGUUGGUAAGGUAACGGCUUACCAAGGCAACGAUGCAUAGCUGACCUGAGAGGGUGAUCAGCCACACUGGAACUGAGACACGGUCCAGACUCCUACGGGAGGCAGCAGUGGGGAAUCUUCGGCAAUGGGCGAAAGCCUGACGGAGCAACGCCGCGUGAGUGAUGAAGGUCUUCGGAUCGUAAAACUCUGUUAGUAGGGAAGAACAUAUGUGUGAUAAUCUGUUCAUAUCUUGACGGUACCUACACAAAAAGCCACGGCUAACUACGUG
rnacentral:rRNA from 1 species